UAUAGUAAAAUCUUGUUAACACUCUUGAGGCCACAUUUAUUUUCCGAUCUUCAUGAAACUUGGUCAGAAUAUUCAUCCCAAAAAAUAUCGUAGACAAGUUAAAAAAUGAUGCUGGUUGGUUGAAAAACAUGUCCGCCAGGGGGUGGGGCAUUUUACCUUAUAUGGCUAUAGUAAAACUUUGUUAACACUCUAUAGGCCACAUUUAUUUUCUUAUCUUCAUGAAACUUGGUCAGAAGAUUUGUCCUAAUGAUAUCUUGGAUUAGUUCAAAAAUAGUUUCGUUUGCUUAAAAAACAUGGCCACCAGGGGGCGGGGCAUUUUUCCUAAUAUGGUUAUGUAUCAUGCUUUACUAAAACAUUGUAAACACUCUGUAGGCCACAUUUAUUUUCCGAUUAUUAUGAAACUUGGUCAGAUGAUUUGUCCUAAUGAUAUCUUGGAUGAGUUCAAAAAUGGUUCUAGUUGGUGGAAAAACAUGGCCACUAAGGGGGCGUGGCAUUUUUCCUUAUAUGGCUAAAGUAAAACCCUGUUAAAACUCUAGAAGCCAUAUUUAUUGUACGAUCAUCAUGACACUUUGUCAGAAGAUUUGUCCCAAUGAUAUUUGGACAAGUUUGAAAUUGGUUCCAGUUGCUAAGAAAAACAUGGCCACCAGUGGGCGGGGCAUUUUUCCUUAUAUGGACUUAUGAAUCUUCUUGAAACUUUGUCAGUAUAUUAGUUUAAAUGAUAUCUUGGAUGUGUUUUUCACGUUGACAUUUGAAGCUUUAACUUUGUAUGAUUCUAAAUAUGUGUCAAUGCUGUCAGUUGAAUUUUGAAAUAUGAAGUUUUACAUUUUUUGUAGAUUAAAUAAUUUGUAAAAUGUUGCAGUUUCGUCAAUCAGUUUUAUAAGAUAUUGAGCUUUAAAUAUGAUGCAGAUUGUAAGAUUCUUAAUAUCUUUCAAUAUUGUGGAUAAGUUUUUGAGAUAUCAAGCUUUGAGUUUUAUGCAAAUUGUAUGAUUUUAAAAUGUUUUAAUGGUGUUGAUCAGUGUAAUGAAGAUUGCAUAAUUUUUAUGUUUUAAUUCUGUCUAUUGGUUUUCAAAAUGAAAGACUUUGAUUUUGUAAGUGCACUUUUAUCUCCUGAAAGAUUCUUUUCUAGUGUUUAGUUUAUAUUUUAAGGCUGUUUGCAAACUCGAAGUGAAAACAGUUCUAUUACAAUUUGGUAAGGACAUGACAUUGCAUAUCUGAUUUUAAAAUGUACUUUGCUGGCAACGUGUAAUUUUCUGAAAUGUCUUAGUAAGACUGUUGUUUGCAAUCAAAAGGUCUGUGCUUCAAAUACAGGGUAAUGCAUGUUUUUUGUCCAAAUUUAUGGCGAUUCAGACAUUGUUCUAUGUAAAUUUGGGGUUUGCUUGAAGGUUCAGUCUAUUUUUAUGUCCCUCACUAUAGUAGUGGGGGACAUAUUGUUUUUGUCCUGUCUGUUGGUUGGUUGGUUGAUCUGUUUACGCCAACUUUAACAUUUGCAAUAACUUUUGCAAUAUUGAAGAUAGCAACUUGAUAUUUGGCAUGCAUAUGUAUCUCAUAGAGCUGCACAUUUUAAUUUUCUGAAAGGUCAAGGUCAGAGGUUAAAUAUAUGUGGCCAAAAUCGCUCAUUUUAUGAAUACUUUUGCAAUAUUGAAGAUAGCAACUUCAUAUUUGGCAAGCAUGUGUAUCUCAUGGAGCUGCACAUUUUGAGUGGUGAAAGGUCAAGGUCAUAAUUCAAUGUCAUAGGUCGAAUAUAUGGCUUCAAAGCGGCGCAGUAAGGGGGAUUGUGUUUUACGAACACAGCUCUUGUUGUUAACUGCCUUUUUAGUCCCUUACCAGUGUUUCACUAAAGUCCGUGUUCUUUGGACUCAUUUCAAGUUGACAUUUGAAGCUUUAACUUUGUAUGAUUCUAAAUAUGUGUCAAUGCUGUCGGUUGAAUUUUGAAAUAUGAAGUUUUUCAUUUUUUGUAGAUUAAAUAAUUUGUAAAAUGUUGCAGUUUAGUCAAUCAGUUUUAUAAGAUAUUGAGCUUUAGUUAUGAUGCAGAUUGUAAGAUUCUUAAUAUCUUUCAAUAUUGUGGAUAAGUUUUUGAGAUAUCAAGCUUUGAAUUUUAUGCAAAUUGUAUGAUUUAAAAUGUUUUAAUUUGUUGAUCAGUGUACUGAAGAUUGUAUACUUUUUAUAUGUUAUAAUUCUGUCUAUUGGUUUUCAAAAUGAAAGACUUUGAUUUUGUAAGUGCACUUUUAUCUCAUUAUGCCCCCCUUCGAAGAAGAGGGGGUAUAUUGCUUUGCUCAUGUCGGUCGGUCUGUCGGUAUGUCAGUUUGUCGGUCCGUCCACCAGGUGGUUGUCAGACGAUAACUCAAGAACGCUUGGGCCUAGGAUCAUGAAACUCCAUAGGUACAUUGAUCAUGACUCGCAGAUGACCCCUAUUGAUUUUGAGGUCAAAGGUCAAGGUCACGGUGACCCAAAAUAGUAAAAUGGUUUCCGGAUGAUAACUCAAAAAUUCAUACGCCUAGGAUCAUGAAACUUCAUGGCUAGAUUGAUCAUGACUUGCAGAUGACCCCUAUUGAUUUUGAGGUCACUAGGUCAAAGGUCAAGGUCACGGUGACCCGAAAUAGUAAAAUGGUUUUCAGAUGAUAACUCAAGAACGCAUAUGCCUAGGAUCAUGAAACUUCACAGGUAGAUUGAUCAUGACUCACAGAUGACCCUUAUUGAUUUUGAGGUCACAAGGUCAAGGUCACGGUGACCCGAAAUAGUAAAAUGAUUUUCGGAUGAUAACUCAAGAACGCUUUUGCCUAGGAUCAUGACACUUCAUAGGUACAUUGAUCGUGACUCACAGAUGACCCCUAUUGAUUUUCAGGUCACUAGGUCAAAGGUCAAGGUCACAGUGACAAAAAACGUAUUCACACAAUGGCUGCCACUACAACGGACAGCCCAUAUGGGGGCAUGCUUGUUUUACAAACAGCCCUUGUUAAAGAUUCUUUUCUAGUGUUUAGUUUAUAUUUUAAGGCUGUUUGCAAACUCGAAGUGAAAACAGCUCUAGUACAAUUUGGUAAGGACAUGACAUUGCAUAUCUGAUUUAAAAAUGUACUUUGCUGGCAACGUGUAAUUUUCAGAAAUGUCUUAGUAAGUAAGACUGUUGUUUGCAAUCAAAAGGUCUGUGCUUCAAAUCCAGGAAAAUGCAUGUUUUUUGUCCAAAUUUAUGUCAAUUCAGACAUUGUUCUGUGUAAAUAUGGGGUUUGCUUGUAGGAUCAGUCUAUUUUUAUGUCCCCCACUAUAGUAGUGGGGGACAUGUUGUUUUUGCUCUGUCGGUCUGUUGAUUGGUUGGUUGGUCUGUUUAUGCCAACUUUAACAUUUUGCAAUAUUGAAAGUAGCAACUUGAUAUUUGGCAUGCAAAUGCAUCUCCUGAAGCUGCACAUUAUCAUUGGUGAAAGGUCAAGGUCAUCCUUCAAGGUCAGAGGUCAAAUAUAUGUGGCCCAAAUCGCUUAUUUUAUUAAUACUUUUGCAAUAUUGAAGAUAGCAACUUGAAAUUUGGCAUGCAUGUGUAUCUCAUGGAGCUGCAAAUUUUGAGUGUUGAAAGGUCAAAGUCAUCCUUCAAGGUCAGAGGUUAAAUAUAUGUGGCCCAAAUCGCUUAUUUUAUGAAUACGUUUGCACUAUUGAAGAUAGCAACUUGAUAUUUGGCAUGCAUAUGUAUCUCAUAGAGCUGCACAUUUUGAGUGGUGAAAGGUCAAGGUCAUCCUUCAAGGUCAAAUAUAUGGGUCAAAAUUGCUCAUGUUAUGUUACUUCUGCAAUAUUGAAGCUAGCAAUUUUAUAUUUGACAUGCAUGUGUAUCUCAUGGAGCUGCACAUUUUGAGUGGUGAAGGGUCAAGGUCAUCCUUCAAGGUCAAACGUUAUAUACGGGGACAUUGGGUUUCACAAACGCAUCUUGUUGUGUAUGUAAUUAAUUUUGCUUAAUUUUUGUGAUCCCCCGCCAACAGCGGAGGGAUAUUAAUUUGGCAUUGUCCGUCUUUCCGUCUGUCCGUCCGGCACUUUUGUGUCCGG